rnacentral:rRNA from 1 species
CUGGGAUUGUGGCAGAGGAUCGCCCAUUAGCGUGGGUUUCCCUUCGGGGUCUCUGUCUCCGGUGCUGCAUGGCUGUCGUCAGCUCGUGUCGUGAGAUGUUGGGUUAAGUCCCGCAACGAGCGCAACCCUUACCUUUAGUUGCUAACGGGUCAAGCCGAGAACUCUAGAGGGACUGCCUGGGUUAACCAGGAGGAAGGUGGGGAUGACGUCAAGUCAGCAUGGCCCUUACGCCCAGGGCUACACACGUGCUACAAUGGACGGUACAAAGGGUUGCGAUACCGCGAGGUGGAGCCAAUCCCAAAAAACCGUCCUCAGUUCGGAUCGUAGUCUGCAACUCGACUGCGUGAAGGUGGAAUCGCUAGUAAUCGUGGAUCAGCACGCCACGGUGAAUACGUUCCC